GACGAACGCUGGCGGCGUGCUUAACACAUGCAAGUCGAACGGAGUGGCGAACGGGUGAGUAUUACGUGAGUAACCUGCCCUCAAAUGUGGGAUAAGCCUGGGAAACUGGGUCUAAUACUGCAUAGUUGGGGAUGGGCUCGCGGCCUAUCAGCUUGUUGGGGGGGUGAUGGCCUACGACGGCGGUGACGGGUAGCCGGCCUUGGAGGGUGGUCAGCCACAAUGGGCCUGAGGUACGGCCCAGGGGCCAACGGGAGGCAGCGGGGGGGGAUAUUGCCCAGUGAGCGCAAGCCGGGUGCAGCGACGUCGGGUUGGGAAUGCAGGGUUUCGGGUGGUAAACCGCUUUCAGCCAAGACGCGGUAGUGGCAGAAGAAGCACCGGCUAACUACGUGCCAGCAGCCGCGGUAAUUC
rnacentral:rRNA from 1 species